rnacentral:rRNA from 1 species
UGGGGAAUUUUGGACAAUGGGGGAAACCCUGAUCCAGCCAUCCCGCGUGUGCGAUGAAGGCCUUCGGGUUGUAAAGCACUUUUGGCAGGAAAGAAACGUCGCGGGUUAAUACCCCGCGAAACUGACGGUACCUGCAGAAUAAGCACCGGCUAACUACGUGCCAGCAGCCGCGGUAAUACGUAGGGUGCAAGCGUUAAUCGGAAUUACUGGGCGUAAAGCGUGCGCAGGCGGUUCGGAAAGAAAGAUGUGAAAUCCCAGAGCUUAACUUUGGAACUGCAUUUUUAACUACCGGGCUAGAGUGUGUCAGAGGGAGGUGGAAUUCCGCGUGUAGCAGUGAAAUGCGUAGAUAUGCGGAGGAACACCGAUGGCGAAGGCAGCCUCCUGGGAUAACACUGACGCUCAUGCACGAAAGCGUGGGGAGCAAACAGGAUUAGAUACCCUGGUAGUCCACGCCCCUAAACGAUGUCAACUAGCUGUUGGGGGCCUUUCGGGCCUUGGUAGCGCAGCUAACGCGUGAAGUUGACCGCCUGGGGAGUACGGUCGCAAGAUU